GGGUACCGGACCUCGCUACCGACUCCAACCGAACUUCGGCCGACAAGUCUGGACCCCCUGGCAGGCCACAGUAACGGACAACACUGCUCCACUCCCUGCGGCGGACCCUAUGCAGCUCCAUUACUCCCUGACAGGCCGUAUUAACGGCCACAAUUCUGCUCCACUCCCUGCGGCGGAUCCUGUGCGAUUCCGCCACUCCCUG
rnacentral:lncRNA from 1 species